rnacentral:lncRNA from 1 species
UAUAACUUAUAUAUUUGAUUUUAAACAUAUUUUAUUCAUUAAGAUAUGAAAAGGAUUGAGCAACAGGCACAGCCUAUAAAAGCUCUCUCCAUAUUACAUGUACAAGGUAUAAUUCAAUUACAACAACUGUAUUUAAAAUAAUGCAAUAUAGUGGAACAUGCAUGCUACUUGUGAGCACACACGAGCAAAUAUAUGUUAACAGUGUUACUUACUAAAUGCAAAGUAUAUUUAAAUAUAUAUGCAAUUAAUCAUCAGUUAUUUAAAGUACCUUGAAAC